rnacentral:rRNA from 1 species
GACGAACGCUGGCGGCGUGCUUAACACAUGCAAGUCGAACGAUGAAGCUAGAGCUUGCUCUGGUGGAUUAGUGGCGAACGGGUGAGUAACACGUGAGUAACCUGCCCCGAACUCUGGGAUAACUGCUGGAAACGGUAGCUAAUACUGGAUACGACCAACGAAGGCAUCUUCUGUUGGUGGAAAGAAUUUCGGUUCGGGAUGGACUCGCUGCCUAUCAGCUUGUUGGUGAGGUAACGGCUCACCAAGGCGACGACGGGUAGCCGGCCUGAGAGGGUAAUCGGCCACACUGGGACUGAGACACGGCCCAGACUCCUACGGGAGGCAGCAGUGGGGAAUAUUGCACAAUGGGCGCAAGCCUGAUGCAGCAACGCCGCGUGAGGGACGACGGCCUUCGGGUUGUAAACCUCUUUUAGUAGGGAAGAAGCGAAAGUGACGGUACCUGCAGAAAAAGCACCGGCUAACUACGUGCCAGCAGCCGCAGUAA